rnacentral:rRNA from 1 species
AACGAACGCUGGCGGCAUGCCUAACACAUGCAAGUCGAACGAGACCUUCGGGUCUAGUGGCGCACGGGUGCGUAACGCGUGGGAAUCUGCCCUUGGGUUCGGAAUAACAGUUAGAAAUGACUGCUAAUACCGGAUGAUGUCUUCGGACCAAAGAUUUAUCGCCCAAGGAUGAGCCCGCGUAAGAUUAGCUAGUUGGUGAGGUAAUGGCUCACCAAGGCGACGAUCUAGUCUGGUCUGAGAGGAUGAUCAGCCACACUGGGACUGAGACACGGCCCAGACUCCUACGGGAGGCAGCAGUGGGGAAUAUUGGACAAUGGGCGCAAGCCUGAUCCAGCCAUGCCGCGUGAGUGAUGAAGGCCUUAGGGUUGUAAANCUCUUCGUCAGGGAAGAUAAUGACGGUACCUAGAAGAAGAA